UGGUGUCUGCGCUCGCGACACAUCACAUUGUUAGGCUAGUCGUUUCACUUUUGUGGCGUGUAUUCGAAUAAAGACCGUUAGUUCAGACAGACGACGCUCAAUCUUCAGAGUCAUGUGCUUUCUCGUCCAGUGCGAUAACUGCAAGAAAUAUACCUGGAAGGGUUGUGGGAACCAUAUUCACAGUGUGAAGCAGCAGGCGGAACGCGAGGGGAAGCCUUGGUGUGAGUGCGCACCAGAACAGCGGCGUCCUCGCUGAGUGCAUUGAACUGGAGCGUUUCCCGCUGGUUGACGAAGUCGACAAGCUCGUGGGCAAGUGGUUCACAUGCUGUUGCGAAUCCCUGUUUGUGGACUGUGCGUUGUACCAGAGGCGAUGCGUGCGGAACUCGCGUGAAGUUGAAGGUGUGAAGCGCUUUUUCCCUGUGCACGCAGGCGCUGUGCUCGUGAAGCGCUACUGCAUUACAUUUCUUCAUACAGGCCAAUGCAUGACUUGGGGGUUUGCAUCCAGGACUUUGGGAUGUCGUCGGAGCUUGACGUGUUACGCGGCUGGUCGUGGCGGUUCCACAGCUGCGCACGGAUAUCUAUGGUUCCUGUCAGUUUCCCAGGCAUCGGUUGUCUGUCAGCGUGAACCUGGCCAUGGAGAACGACGAGCUUGGGCGGCAGCGCUUUUGGAGAGACUUCAUUGGCAGCUGUGACUGGAUUUGGAUGAAUGGGCGGCAAAAGACAGCGAUGCCAGGCGGUUACCAAGCUCAUGCCGGAGUUUUUACAGAACAUAAAAUCGGAUAUUGCUAUAU